UGGAAAAGAGGAAAGGCUGAUUUUGG
rnacentral:piRNA from 1 species